rnacentral:rRNA from 1 species
UACGGAGGAUGCAAGCGUUAUCCGGAAUGAUUGGGCGUAAAGCGUCCGCAGGUGGCUGUGUAAGUCUGCUGUCAAAGAGCAAAGCUCAACUUUGUAAAGGCAGUGGAAACUACACGGCUAGAGUGCGUUCGGGGCAGAGGGAAUUCCUGGUGUAGCGGUGAAAUGCGUAGAUAUCGAGAGGAACACCUGCGGCGAAGGCGGGUUGCUGGGCCGACACUGACGCUGAUGCGCGAAAACCAGGGGAGCGAACGGG